GGCGGCAGGCUUAACACAUGCAAGUCGAGCGCCUCGCAAGAGGAGCGGCAGACGGGUGAGUAACGCGUGGGAAUCUACCCAUCCCUACGGAACAACUCCGGGAAACUGGAGCUAAUACCGUAUACGCCCUUAGGGGGAAAGAUUUAUCGAGGAUGGAUGAGCCCGCGUUGGAUUAGCUAGUUGGUGGGGUAAAGGCCUACCAAGGCGACAAUCCAUAGCUGGUCUGAGAGGAUGAUCAGCCACAUUGGGACUGAGACACGGCCCAAACUCCUACGGGAGGCAGCAGUGGGGAAUAUUGGACAAUGGGCGCAAGCCUGAUCCAGCCAUGCCGCGUGAGUGAUGAAGGCCCUAGGGUUGUAAAGCUCU
rnacentral:rRNA from 1 species